UACGUAGGGUGCAAGCGUUAUCCGGAAUUAUUGGGCGUAAAGAGCUCGUAGGCGGUCUGUCGCGUCUGCUGUGAAAACCCGAGGCUCAACCUCGGGCCUGCAGUGGGUACGGGCAGACUAGAGUGCGGUAGGGGAGAAUGGAACUCCUGGUGUAGCGGUGGAAUGCGCAGAUAUCAGGAAGAACACCGAUGGCGGAAGGCAGUUCUCUGGGCCGUAACUGACGACUGGAGG
rnacentral:rRNA from 1 species